AGGCAGAGAGAACAGGGAGCGCUCAGGAUGGGGAGAGUGCUCUGGGGCCACAGGAGGGGGUUCAGCAGAGGGCAGGGUGGAGGGUGUGAUUCUAUUGUCGCUGUGCCCCCACGCCUCUCCAGUGAUAGUCUGCCCUGUUGCCAGGCACGGGUGUGGUUCUGGGCAGACCGUGGUCAGUGGUCUCAGUGUUUCGGCCCAGCUGGCCAUGGUGGCUGCAAGAAGCUCUGCAGCAGCCUGGGAAAUGGGGGAGGACCUUCAGCCUCGCGUGAGCUGCUUUAUUGGUGAACCCAGCAGACUCCAUGGAGCUUGAGGCAGAAGCAACAGACUUGUUUAACCAGGGGAUGAAAGACAUUCUGUGCAGAGAUCAGGGACGUGCCACUGCAGUCCAGCAGUAGUUCAGUGGAAUGUAAAACCCUCACCGAGUUUCACCUCGAGACAGAGGAGGUCAAAGCCCAGGAGUGCCUGCUGCCCUGGAUGGGUCCAGCUUGUGAUCUGGAGUUACAGAAGGUGACUUGAGGCUCUUGAAGAAAAGCUGGAGGGAACUGUUUCUUAUUCUCAAAGCCAGAUUCUGUGUCUCGAAUGGAAACUCAUGAUCAUUGGUGGAGAGCAUGGGAGGCUGAAAGAAACCUCAUCAUCUCCAGACAAGAGGCACAGUCCCGAGGCAAGGAAAACGGACACAGUGAUUCCCCGAGUUUCUGGACAUGGAUCCUCAAGCAGCUGAUAACCCAGAUGGAGCGUGAUUGGGGGCAUUUGCCCUCUGACCUCCAGGCGUGGACGCAGCCUCCUCUGACACUCCCCUCCCUUUAUACCCCACCUCAGCUGCCAGCCUUUCCUCUGCCCUCUUCCCCUCCAUUCCCAGAGCCUAUGUUUCCAGUGAACUCAAAUGUGGAGUUCAUGGGAAGGAGACAUCCUCUUCUGUCCCCUUCUCCAGGAAGCCUGGGUGAACUCCUGAGCCAGCUUCCAUGAAGGGCUGCUUUCCUCCUUAUCCCCACUCAGGGGCUGGAGCCCCCACCCAGAAAAUGGGAAAGAGUUGCUUUCUGGCUUCUCAUUGAGCCACCACAUGAUCCUGCCAGUCCAAAUGCCCAAUUACCACCAGGCCCUACAUAAUUUCUCAAAUUUUCCCAAAUGUAUUUUUGAAUUAUU
rnacentral:lncRNA from 1 species